rnacentral:lncRNA from 10 species
GGGGAGGGGAGAGGUCCCAGCGCUGCUGUCUGGCAGACCUUGGUUUCGGUGGGCACCAGAAGCGAGGCAGAUUGCUUGCUGCUGCAACUUCACGCGUGAGCUCCAGGCUCCCCUGGUUGGAAGGUGCCAGGGAGUGAGGCGGUUUUAAGAUUCCUUCAACAUCAGGAUUCCCGAUCAUCUCAUCAACCGACUUGUUAAGAAAACUGAGGCCCAGGGAAGUGGCUCACAAUUGUGUAGAAUUGUGAGGUGUCUUGACUGCUGGGCCAGGACUGAAGGACGUACGCCCUCUCCCGGAAUCGUCUCAGCUACAGAGAACCACCUUGCCCAAGGUGUGCACAGGGUGUGGCUUCCAAGGGGAAUGUGGAUGCUGGAAUGAGGGAGGCAGCCACCUAGGCCGGUCAAGUCAGAGGCCCAGCAAGGAGAAAGCGAGCCAAGGCAAACGCCGACAGAAGAGAACGAUAAAUCCGCGGCGCACUCGGCAGAACGUACACCGCACCGCAUAAUUUAGCGGGGCAAUGCCGCCGGGAGUCCACGCCAAGUUAAUGGAAUAUUUCCUGUCUGGGGACUGUGCAACCCCCUGGUCUCCCAAUGCCUCAGUUACUGACGCUGCAAACAAGGCAGAUUGUCCCAGAGAUUAGAGCUCUCAGGCUUUCUCGGGCUUCAAUCAAUCAAAGGAACGUAAGGACCCCUCCCCUACAGAGAGAGCCGGACGUGAGCCAGAUUUUGUCCAGACUUACUUAUAUCUGCCCUGUGGGAUCCCGAUUCUGCAAGAUUUAAUAAACAAUGCCUCAACAGAUAGCAUUUAAUUUUCAUUCAAACGUUUCCAGGGAAGAAAGAGGUAAAACUCUUGCUUGUACCAGCACAACUGCCCGAAACCCGUGGGAUACCCAGUCUGAGGCAUGUUGCUAUCGACAGUCAUUUCACACAGCUGGCAGUUUUUUCUUUUCUGAUGGCCUAGCUCUCUUUACUCCACCGUAAAUGCAAACUAAGACGAAACUUGGGAUUUACCUCCGGUGCCUAAAUGCCAACCUGACACUGUCUCAUUGUCUCCUGAGCCCAGUAGGACGGUAAUUUGUGAAAUACGGAGCCUCUCACCUCAGCAGCGCUUCUUUCUAUUCCCACACAUAUGCACAUGCUAAAAUGGAAUGUGGUAACUAGCAUAAAAUAGGGUACAACAAUUGCUGCAAGAUUUGUUUUUUUGGCUGGGCACAGUGGCUCACGUCUGUAAUCCCAUCACUUUGGGAGGCUGAGGUGGGUGGAUCUUUUGAGGUCAGGAGUCUGAGACCAGCCUGACUAACAUGGUGAAACCCAGUCUCUACUAAAAAUACAAAAAAAAAAAAAAAAAAAUUAGCCAGGCAUGGUGACACACGCCUAUAGUCCCAGCUACUCUGGAGGCUGAACCAGCAGAAUUGCUUGAACCCAGGAGGCAGAGGUUGCAGUGAGCCAAUAUCGUGCCACUGCACUCCAGCCUGGGAGACAGAGCGAGACUCCCUCUCAAAAAAAAAAAAAGAUUUUUUUUUUCUAUUGUGACUUUUCUACUUCUGUCAUCACUGCUGAGCCAAGACAGACAUGUAAGAUCCCGUCAGCACCGUACUUGGAUGCUGCAUUCACAAUUGUGAAUUCCAACCGUAGCCAUGACAAAGGAGAGAGGAGAGCUACAAAGCACUCAAAGGGAUGUCCCC